AGUCAUCUAUGCUUUCCUUAGGAUACUGGUUUUUCUGCAAGUCUAAGAAAGAUACUGGAUACAAACCAAAAGCUAAACAGUGAAAAUGCUACUCUACAGCGAGACAUUGGCACAUUUCAAAAUGAGGUUUUCAUACUACAAGAGGAUAUUAACAGACGGAAAAGGAAAAUGAAUGAGACAAUAAAAUACAUGGAACAUCAAACAAUGUCAGUAAGAGAAGUGACAGAAGAGUUGCUAACAAAUAUACAAAAUGUAAAGUAUUCCAGAUUUCACAGAAUUCAUUCACAACCUAAUGCUGAGGCCUGAUCUCAAGCAAGACACAGUAUUCAGUGAUAGAAUGGAGGCCUGGGGGUUGUAUUCAAAAAGCUUCAGGUUUGGCCCCGAUACGAUGUGUAAAGUAUGUGUAAAGUAUACUCUGCAGUUCAUUUAAAAUAAAGUCAAUAAUUUUUUA